AUUUAAGUAGCUUAAUUUAAAGUUAAACAUUGAAAAUGUUUAGAUGCAGUUUUUUGCCUUAGAUA
rnacentral:tRNA from 1 species